GUGGGGAAUAUUGGACAAUGGGCGAAAGCCUGAUCCAGCCAUGCCGCGUGGGUGAAGAAGGCCUUAGGGUUGUAAACCCCUUUCAGCGGGGAAGAUAAUGACGGUACCCGCAGAAGAAGUCCCGGCUAACUCCGUGCCAGCAGCCGCGGUAAUACGGAGGGGACUAGCGUUGUUCGGAAUUACUGGGCGUAAAGCGCACGUAGGCGGAUUUGUAAGUCAGGGGUGAAAUCCCGGGGCUCAACCUCGGAACUGCCUUUGAUACUGCAAAUCUCGAGUCCGGAAGAGGUGAGUGGAAUUCCUAGUGUAGAGGUGAAAUUCGUAGAUAUUAGGAAGAACACCAGUGGCGAAGGCGGCUCACUGGUCCGGUACUGACGCUGAGGUGCGAAAGCGUGGGGAGCAAACAGGAUUAGAAACCCUAGUAGUCC
rnacentral:rRNA from 1 species